GCCUCUGUAGCUCAGUUGGUUAGAGCACUGCACAAGAAUCACAGGUUCGAUUCCUGUCAUGGACC
rnacentral:tRNA from 1 species